rnacentral:rRNA from 1 species
UACGAAGGGGGCUAGCGUUGCUCGGAAUCACUGGGCGUAAAGCGCACGUAGGCGGAUUGUUAAGUCAGGGGUGAAAUCCUGGAGCUCAACUCCAGAACUGCCUUUGAUACUGGCGAUCUUGAGUCCGGGAGAGGUGAGUGGAACUGCGAGUGUAGAGGUGAAAUUCGUAGAUAUUCGCAAGAACACCAGUGGCGAAGGCGGCUCACUGGCCCGGUACUGACGCUGAGGUGCGAAAGCGUGGGGAGCAAACGGGG